UGUAUGUAAGGCUCGUAUUUAGUUAUCUGCGUCUAGUCGGUUGAAACAGACACAAUGUCAGAAUUUACUUUAACGAAAAACAAUGUGUGGGAUUAUUUUCAAAGAAUUCCCAACGAGAAAUUUCGAGCAAAGUGCAAGAAGUGCGAAUCAAGUUUUAAGUACAUUAAUUAUGGAAAUUUUCAAUUACAUUUACGUCUUAAACAUAAAAAAUAUUGCAUCGACGCAGUAAAGAAAAAUGUAAUAGAUGGACCGGAUAUAUAUUACGACGAAUUAUUGUCAGCAUGUUUUGUUUGUAAAAAGAUGCAAUUUUCAAGGAUGUUAUAUCGACUACAAAAACUUUAUCCAACAUGUAACGGAACAUCAUCAAGAAGUUUCUUCAUACAAAGAAAGAAACGGAGAAGGAUACCCGUGGAUGUAUUUCAUGCCGAAAACGCUUCACAAUGUCUUCUCUGUCAAGAUAUUACUGUAGCGGCUCGUGACGACUAUUUACAACUUUAAAAACACAUUUUGACACAUUCCCUUUUGACCAUUACGAUAUUAAUUGGGAUUUAAAUCACCAUAUUGAGAGUACACAUCUGAACAAGCCGACAAGCACGAUAAGAGCGUGUGACAUAGCUGGACCGUUCAGGAAGUCAACGAAAGAAGAAAAAAAGUAACAAUUUAUCCAAAAAUGAAUGAUGCUAACGGCGAUCAUGUAGCACGACAACCAGGCAUCACGACAAAAGGCAAUCUUGACUUUGGUGAUUAAAACAAUCAAUGAUAUGCAAAGAAAAUAACGUAUCUCUAACGUGUAAUUAUUCGUUUUAUGUUUAUAAAAUUAUAAAUAUGUUUAUAAAUUUACGUAUUAUGAGAAAUUCGAAGUUACAUUUUUGGAAUUUAUUAUGUAUGUCUAACAUAUUCAAUUAAGUAUAUUUGAUAUAUUUUGCUUAUGUGUAAUCUGUCUUAAAUUUAUAAACUAUGCUAAUUUUAUAAAGUAAAACAAUUUUAUAAAUUAACAAUCGACUCUUCGGUUCAGGGACAAGAUUUGUCAGCAAGUUAUGCAACACAGUCACAAUAUUUCAGUUUCAUUUUUAUUUCUUAUAUUUUUAUGUGUACUUGGUCGUAUGUGUAGCCUGAAUAUUUAUUGUACUUUAUAUAAUCUAAAUUUAUUACAACUCGUUACUAUUAUAUUAUUAGAGGUUUCCAA